GAGAGCCGGAUGCGGGAAAUCCGCCCGUCCGGUUCCGCGGGAGGGGCAGGGCAACCCAAU
rnacentral:ncRNA from 1 species